CAUACAAUCUCCCUCCAUGGAUGUGUAUGAAAAGAUCUUAUUUCAUGCUAUCAUUAUUGAUUCCCGGUCCAACCUCACCCGGGAACGAUAUUGAUGUUUUCUUACAACCCCUAGUAGAAGAAUUGAAGGAGUUAUGGGAUGUUGGAGUAGAAACGUUUGAUGUGUCUUCCAAAAAAUCAUUCCAAAUGCAUGCUGCAUUAUUGUGGACCAUAAAUGAUUUUCCUGCAUAUGGUGAUAUCUCGGGUUGGAGUACCAAAGGAUCUCUUGCAUGUCCCUCUUGUAACUAUGAUAAACAAUCUCGUUGGUUAAGAUAUGGAAGGAAAUUUAGUUACAUUGGACAUAGGCGAUUUUUGGAUAGUGAUCAUAGAUUCCGUAAGCAAAAAAAAUCAUUUGAUGGGAAUAUUGAUAACAGAUCAGCUCCGAUUACAAUAUCCGAAGGGGAAAUCAUGUUACAAACGGAUGCUGUAGCCGAUCAUGUGUUUGGGAAGAAAAAAGUUAAUUUGACCAAUAAAAGAAAAAGAGGGGAAGAAGCCUUAACUGUGUGGAAGAAGAGAAGUAUAUUUUUCACCUUGCCUUAUUGGGAGUACCAUGUGUUGCGUCACAAUCUUGAUGUGAUGCAUAUUGAGAAGAAUGUAGUUGAUAAUAUAAUUGGCACAUUGUUGAACUUGGAUGGCAAGACAAAGGAUAACUUGAAGGCACGCCAAGAUUUAAAAGAUAUGGGUAUAAGAAGUGAACUUCACUUGAAAAAGGUUGGGAAUGAUCAGACAUGUAUGCCACAUGCUUGCUACCAUAUGAAUGCUAGUGAAAAGGAUGGUUUUUUGCAAGUUUUGAAAGAUGUAAAAGUGCCAGAUGGAUAUUCUUCAAACAUCUCACGUUGCGUUAAACUCAAAGAACGCAAGAUUAGUGGGAUGAAGAGCCAUGAUAAUCACAUCUUAAUGCAGCAGCUUUUUCCAAUAGCAAUACGUGGAUCUCUGCCCCCUGAAGUGAGUAGGCAUUUAAUUGACUUAUCUUGUUUCUUUAGGGAGAUAUGUUCCAAAGUACUAAAUGUGGAGGAACUUGGGGCUCUUGAGAAGAGAAUUGCAGUGACAUUGUGUGAGUUGGAAAAGAUAUUCCCUCCCUCUUUCUUUACCGUGAUGGUACAUGUAGUCAUGCAUUUGGCUAGCGAAGCCAAAAUUGCCGGUCCAGUUCAUUAUCGUUGGAUGUAUCCCAUAGAGAGGUACUUGUCAAGGCUUAAGUCUUAUGUGCAUAAUAAAACUUAUCCAGAAGGCUCCAUUGCGGAAGGGUAUAUAGCAGAGGAAUGCUUAACAUUCUGUUCACGCUAUUUUAAAUCUGUUGAAACUGUAUUUAAUCGGCCUGUAAGGAAUGUUGAGGAAUCCAUGGGUGCAAUGGUGAGCAUUACACUAGAUUCAAAUUCAUGGAUCCAAGCACAUCGUUAUGUGCUAUUCAAUUGUGAAGAAAUCACCCCAUUUCGUGAUGAACAUAUAGCGGAGAUUAAGGCUGGUUUCCCUUCUCAUGUGACUAAUGAUGUUAUUCAAAAGCAGCACAUAGAGAAAUUCUGCAACUGGUUUAGGGAAUAUGUGAUGUCAAUGGAUGCCUCUAAGAAAAAGGAAAUCUCUGAUAAAGUUAGAUGGCUUGCUCGAUAUCCAGAUAAUGAAGCAAAAAGGUUCAAGCGUUAUGUUAUAAACGGUUUGAAGUUUCGCACCAAAGAUUUUGAGGCAACUAGGAAAACUCAAAAUAGUGGAGUUUGUGUUGUUACUGAAGGUGGUGCUACUUAUUAUGGUGUACUAAUCGAUAUUAUUGAAUUGAACUACUCUGACAAGUAUCGAUAUGUAUUAUUCAAAUGUCAAUGGGCUGAUGUUAUUAGUGGGAGAGGAUGCAAAAAAGAUGAGUUUGGAUUUCCCCUUGUCAAUUUUUCAAGAUUGAUACACACAGGUGAUCACUUGAUUGAUGAACCUUAUGUAUUAGCAUCCCAAGUUUCGCAAGUGUUUUAUGUGGAGGAUGUGAGACAUAAAGAUUGGGUAGUAGUGGUCAGAACCAAACCUAGGGAGGUGUUUGAUGUUGGUAUUCAAGCUUUAGAUGAUGAUGAUGAUGAAGUGGAUACAUAUAUGGAGAAUGUCCCUUAUAAUGUAACUACUGAUGAUGCAUGUGAUGAUGUAAAUGACAACCAUGCUUGGGCUCGAGUUGAUGAAGAAGGAACCAUUUAUGAUACACCGUUGAUUAGUGAGGAUGAAUUUCUUGAACAAGACUUUAUCGAUGAUGAAGAGCUUAGUGAUGAUGUUUAUGAGUCUAAUGACGAUGAGUCCAAUGAUGAUGGAUCCAAUGAUGAUGAGUCUAGCGAUGAUGACUAGGUUGUGCCCCUUCUUGCACAUUCUUUAACAAAAUUCAUUAUUGCUUAAUAGGGAAAAAAAGAAAAGAAAAGAAAAGAGACUUUGACAGUUGAAAUGGCAAGGAGAAAGGCAAAUCUGCGCACACGUCCCAGGAGUGUUACAUUACAAAGAGCUUCUUCACAAGAUGCGGAUGAAGUGGGGGACCAAGAAAUGCAUGACGCUUCUACACAAGUUUCUAC